CCCAACCGAGCCUCCCUAGCC
rnacentral:siRNA from 1 species